UACGUAGGGGGCUAGCGUUGUCCGGAAUCAUUGGGCGUAAAGCGCGUGUAGGCGGUCCGGUAAGUCCGCUGUGAAAGUCGAGGGCUCAACCCUCGAAUGCCGGUGGAUACUGUCGGGCUAGAGUCCGGAAGGGGCGAGUGGAAUUCCUGGUGUAGCGGUGAAAUGCGCAGAUAUCAGGAGGAACACCGGUGGCGAAGGCGGAUCUCUGGGCCUUACCUGACGCUGAGGCGCGAAAGCUAGGGGAGCAAACAGG
rnacentral:rRNA from 1 species